rnacentral:rRNA from 1 species
AUUGAACGCUGGCGGCAGGCCUAACACAUGCAAGUCGAACGGUAACAGGAAGAAGCUUCCUUCUUUGCUGACGAGUGGCGGACGGGUGAGUAAUGUCUGGGAAACUGCCUGAUGGAGGGGGAUAACUACUGGAAACGGUAGCUAAUACCGCAUAAUGUCGCAAGACCAAAGAGGGGGACCUUCGGGCCUCUUGCCAUCGGAUGUGCCCAGAUGGGAUUAGCUAGUAGGUGGGGUAACGGCUCACCUAGGCGACGAUCCCUAGCUGGUCUGAGAGGAUGACCAGCCACACUGGAACUGAGACACGGUCCAGACUCCUACGGGAGGCAGCAGUGGGGAAUAUUGCACAAUGGGCGCAAGCCUGAUGCAGCUAUGCCGCGUGUAUGAAGAAGGCCUUCGGGUUGUAAAGUACUUUCAGCGGGGAGGAAGGGAGUAAAGUUAAUACCUUUGCUCAUUGACGUUACCCGCAGAAGAAGCACCGGCUAACUCCGUG